rnacentral:rRNA from 1 species
UUGGAGGGCAAGUCUGGUGCCAGCAGCCGCGGUAAUUCCAGCUCCAAUAGCGUAUAUUAAAGUUGUUGCAGUUAAAAAGCUCGUAGUUGAAUUUCGGGAUCAAUACGUCGGUCGUGCUUUUUUGGUACGCACUGGCGUCAUUGGUUUCUCCUUUCUGACGAACCAUGAUGUCAUUAAUUUGGUGUUAUGGGGAGUUAGGACUGUUACUUUGAAAAAAUUAGAGUGUUUAAAGCAGGCAUUAGCUUGAAUACAUUAGCAUGGAAUAAUGAAAUAGGACGUUCGAUCCUAUUUUGUUGGUUUCUAGGAUCAACGUAAUGAUUAAUAGGGAUAGUUGGGGGCAUUAGUAUUCAAUUGUCAGAGGUGAAAUUCUUGGAUUUAUUGAAGACUAACUACUGCGAAAGCAUUUGCCAAGGAUGUUUUCAUUAAUCAAGAACGAAAGUUAGGGGAUCGAAGACGAUCAGAUACCGUCGUAGUCUUAACCAUAAACUAUGCCGACUAGGGAUCGGAUGAUGUUAAUUUUAUAAUGACUCAUUCGGCGCCUUACGGGAAAC